GGUGCGCGUGCGAGCGUGUGAAGGUGACAGAGGAGUUCAAAGGAGCCCGCGGGCGGCGCUGAGUCGACAGGGUUCUCGUGGAGCCCGGUAUUGAACCACAUCUGAGACCAGCGCCGCAGCUUGGACCGGGGCCACCCUUUGUGUUGCUCGGGGACCCCUGUGUGAAUGUUCGUCUAAUACGGCGGCUCGCGGACGUUGCAUCAGAGCCCCGGGGGAAGAUCGGGGGCUCCAGCAGACAGAGGGAUGCUGACGGUCCAACAGGUCCUCCCCACGAUUUGUCUGCACCUUGGCUACAGAAAACCCACGCUGCUGUAACAGUUUGACUUGUACUGUGACUGAAGAGGCAUCCAGGAGAACGGUCUGCUUCACUGGCAUCCUAACGUAAGUAACAACCUUCUGCACAGCCUCCUCUCUAGUGUAAUCUGUUGCUCUAGACGAAUACAUUAUGCUACAGUAUAUUUGCAGAUAUCGUGUGAUCAGUGGGACUCCUUGCCUUGAAAGUGUUUUAAAGGCGAGGCAGUCGCUGUAAAAGAGGACGCGUCUGGCCUUGACAAUUCGGCGUGUGUCUGAAUCAUUCACUUUUCAACGCGGAGCAGGUUUUUACAUCUUUUU
rnacentral:lncRNA from 1 species